GAUGAACGCUGGCGGCGUGCCUAAUACAUGCAAGUCGAGCGAACGGACGAGAAGCUUGCUUUUCUGAUGUUAGCGGCGGACGGGUGAGUAACACGUGGAUAACCUACCUAUAAGACUGGGAUAACUUCGGGAAACCGGAGCUAAUACCGGAUAAUAUUUUGAACCGCAUGGUUCAAAAGUGAAAGACGGUCUUGCUGUCACUUAUAGAUGGAUCCGCGCUGCAUUAGCUAGUUGGUAAGGUAACGGCUUACCAAGGCAACGAUGCAUAGCCGACCUGAGAGGGUGAUCGGCCACCCUGGAACUGAGACACGGCCCAGACUCCUACGGGAGGCAGCAGUAGGGAAUCUUCCGCAAUGGGCGAGAGCGGGACGGAGCAACGCCGCGUGAGUGAUGAAGGUCUUCGGAUCGUAAAACUCUGUUAUUAGGGAAGAACAUAUGUGUAAGUAACUGUGCACAUCUUGACGGUACCUGGUCAGAAAGCCACGGCUAACUACGUG
rnacentral:rRNA from 1 species